rnacentral:lncRNA from 1 species
AGAGGGAGAGGAGAGGGAAAGAGCCCAGUAGCUGCUGACGUUAUAUAUUCAAAUAAUAGUACUAGUUAAUGGGCAAUGUAAUACUACAUUUGACAAAAUGUGUAAACAAACCAAACAUGAGGGUGCUGGGGUGUGCUUUAGCUCAGCCGGUCAUCCUACAUGGUCAGCUUGAGCUUGGCUUGAGCUCAAGUCAAGCUGGGAACAGCCAGCACGAGCUUGGCUCAUUCAAAUUCCAAUCCAGUUCGAGCUCUGCUUGUUGGCUUGAGAAGGAUGGAUGAAUAAGAAACAA